rnacentral:misc_RNA from 1 species
CUUUAUUAAUUUCUUAUAUAUAAUUUAUAUUAAAUAUAAAAAUAUAUUUUUUAAAUAAAAUAGACGAUAAGACCCUAUWAAAUUUUACUUAUAGUUUAACUGGGGAAGUUUUAAAAAUAAAAUUUUUUAUAAAAAUAAAAAUAAAUCUAAUAAAAUUAAAAUUAAAUUAAAUUAYUAUAGGGAUAACAGCAUUAUAUUUUUUAAAAGUUCAUAUUAAAAAAAAUGAUUGUGACCUCGAUGUUGAAUUAUAUUUUCUUUAUUAAUGCAAUAAUUAUAAAAGKAGAUCUGUUCGAUCUUUAAAAUAUUACAUGAUUUGAGUUCAAACCGGUGUAAACCAGGUUGGUUUCUAUCUUUUUAUAAAUUCAUAUAUAUAUAUAUAUAUAUAUACAUAAAUUUUUCAAGUACGAAAGGAAAAAAAAAUUUUUAUUUUAAUUAAUUAGCAAUUAAUAUGCAUUAGAUUUAGAAUCUAAAUAAACUAUU